AGAGUUUGAUCCUGGCUCAGGACGAACGCUGGCGGCGUGCUUAACACAUGCAAGUCGAACGGAAAGGCCCUGCUUUUGUGGGGUGCUCGAGUGGCGAACGGGUGAGUAACACGUGAGUAACCUGCCCUUGACUUUGGGAUAACUUCAGGAAACUGGGGCUAAUACCGGAUAGGAGCUCCUGCUGCAUGGUGGGGGUUGGAAAGUUUCGGCGGUUGGGGAUGGACUCGCGGCUUAUCAGCUUGUUGGUGGGGUAGUGGCUUACCAAGGCUUUGACGGGUAGCCGGCCUGAGAGGGUGACCGGCCACAUUGGGACUGAGAUACGGCCCAGACUCCUACGGGAGGCAGCAGUGGGGAAUUUUGGACAAUGGGCGAAAGCCUGAUCCAGCAAUGCCGCGUGUGUGAUGAAGGCCUUCGGGUUGUAAAGCACUUUUGGCGGGAACGAAAAGGACUGUGCCAAUACCACGGUUCGAUGACGGUACCCGCAGAAUAAGCACCGGCUAACUACGUGCCAGCAGCCGCGGUAAUACGUAGGGUGCAAGCGUUAAUCGGAAUUACUGGGCGUAAAGAGUGCGCAGGCGGUUUUGCAAGACCGAUGUGAAAUCCCCGGGCUUAACCUGGGAACUGCAUUGGUGACUGCAAGGCUAGAGUGUGUCAGAGGGAGGUGGAAUUCCGCAUGUAGCAGUGAAAUGCGUAGAUAUGCGGAGGAACACCGAUGGCGAAGGCAGCCUCCUGGGAUAACACUGACGCUCAUGCACGAAAGCGUGGGGAGCAAACAGGAUUAGAUACCCUGGUAGUCCACACCGUAAACGAUGAUUACUAGGUGUUGGAGGAUUGACCCCUUCAGUGCCGCAGUUAACACAAUAAGUAAUCCACCUGGGGAGUACGACCGCAAGGUU
rnacentral:rRNA from 1 species